GAGUUUGAUCCUGGCUCAGAUUGAACGCUGGCGGCAUGCCUUACACAUGCAAGUCGAACGGCAGCAUGAUCUAGCUUGCUAGAUUGAUGGCGAGUGGCGAACGGGUGAGUAAUACAUCGGAACGUGCCCUGUAGUGGGGGAUAACUAGUCGAAAGAUUAGCUAAUACCGCAUACGACCUGAGGGUGAAAGUGGGGGACCGCAAGGCCUCAUGCUAUAGGAGCGGCCGAUGUCUGAUUAGCUAGUUGGUGGGGUAAAGGCCCACCAAGGCGACGAUCAGUAGCUGGUCUGAGAGGACGAUCAGCCACACUGGGACUGGGACACGGCCCAGACUCCUACGGGAGGCAGCAGUGGGGAAUUUUGGACAAUGGGCGAAAGCCUGAUCCAGCAAUGCCGCGUGUGUGAAGAAGGCCUCGG
rnacentral:rRNA from 1 species